rnacentral:lncRNA from 1 species
GUAGUGGUUACAGUGUUUUUUUUUUUUAAUUUUUGUUUUACAGUUGAUCUACAAUGUUCUGUCAAUUCUGCUGUACGGCAAAGUGACCCAGUUACAUAUGUAUAUACAUUCUGUUUCUCAUAUACAGUCUUUUUUAAUCCACUAAUCAAAUGGCUUGGAGUUAAAUUCACGGAUUGCUCUGGAAGUGUGGGAAGAUGCAGCACAAGAAUCAGGUGCCAUUUUUGGAAAAUAUUCAUGGAAAAUGGAGAGAACUCUCCAGACUCCAGAUCCAGAGAUACAUGGUCUUUAGCUUUGGAGUUUGGAUGUUACUGUCUCAUUAACUAAUCCAGGAAGCUGAGGCAUCACAUAAGGGUAAAGGGAUUGGAGGUCUCACAAACACUGAGACUCAGGGUCAUACCCCAUGUCAAUGGGAUCAAAUAGCUUUUGCCUCUAAACCAGAAAGGACAAUGAAGACUCUAGCAGAAAAUUUACUAUAAGAAAUAGAGAUUUUGAAUCAAAAGGCUAGACUCAUCACCAAGAUAUAAAUGAGGCUUUCUACAGGUAUCUGCUCAACUGAAUUUUCACAGCUCUGGCCGGGAGGUGGUUAUAGAGCCUAGAAGAAAAGGUCAAUUGGGUGUUUUGAAAUCGCAGAGCCCAGGACUUACUCAGCAACACUGAUCAGUGUCCCAUGAAUUUAUGAGACCAUUUGAGGGAGGAGGCCUUCAAGAAAAGACCUGUGAGUCAGCCACAACCCCCAUCCAUCAGCUCAAGUGGUCAUUUUUCCAUCACAGGCUUGUGUAACCCGGGAACCACAGGUCUGUUCUCAUCCAUCCUCUGUGUCUCCUUCCCUCCUGAGCAUAUUCAGCUGAGACUGCACAGGCCCUUGUUAGAGUCACCCUCUCACAAAUGCCUCCCGAGGGAACUGAAACCCUGUGUACCUGUCCAAGAAACUCAGGUCCCUCUCUCCCUCACUACAGGUAACCACUUGAACCUACCAUUACCUUGGUAAUGUCUUUAAUACUAUUUUUAGUGCUAUUACUACUUAUGCAUGC